rnacentral:rRNA from 1 species
AGAGUUUGAUCCUGGCUCAGGAUGAACGCUAGCGGCAGGCCUAACACAUGCAAGUCGAGGGGUAUUAGGAGCUUGCUUCUGAGAGACCGGCGCACGGGUGAGUAACGCGUAUGCAAUCUACCUUUCACAAGAGAAUAGCCCGGAGAAAUCCGGAUUAAUGCUCUAUAGUUUAUAGAACUGGCAUCGGUUUUAUAAUAAAGAUUUAUCGGUGAAAGAUGAGCAUGCGUCUCAUUAGCUAGUUGGUGUGGUAACGGCAUACCAAGGCAAUGAUGAGUAGGGGUCCUGAGAGGGAGAUCCCCCACACUGGUACUGAGACACGGACCAGACUCCUACGGGAGGCAGCAGUGAGGAAUAUUGGUCAAUGGAGGCAACUCUGAACCAGCCAUGCCGCGUGCAGGAUGACGAUCCUAUGGAUUGUAAACUGCUUUUGUACAGGAAGAAAUGCAAUUACGUGUAGUUGUUUGACGGUACUGUAAAAUAAGGACCGGC